rnacentral:rRNA from 1 species
CCUACGGGAGGCAGCACUGGGGGAUAUUGCACAAUGGGGGGAACCCUGAUGCAGCGACGCCGCGUGGGUGAAGGAGCGUUUCGGCGCGUAAAGCCCUAUCGGCAGGGAAGAAGAUGACGGUACCUGACCAAGAAGCCCCGGCUAACUCCGUGCCAGCAGCCGCGGUAAUACGGAGGGUGCGAGCGUUAAUCGGAAUUACUGGGCGUAAAGCGCUCGUAGGCGGUAUGUCAAGUCAAGGGUGAAAUCCCCGCGCUCAACGUGGGAACUGCCUUUGAAACUGGCAAACUGGAGGGGGUGAGAGGAUA